UCUCUGUUAAGUCACAAAGCAAAUUAGCAGAAGAAUGUUGAUCACGACAUAGAUAUGGAAUAGAACUGCCACAACCCCUUUCUUUGGUUUUAAAUUUUUGCAGAUUCUCCGAUACAUUGAUUGGAAAAGCAGCUUCCAGGGGAGGACAAAAAAAGGAGAAUAAGAAGAAAAAAAGAAGAGAGGUGGAAGGAAUUUGGGGAGCAAUCUUGUCACAUUAAAUUUUGCAAAGCAUCGACAUAGAGCAUACAGCCAUGAAUUUAUUGCGACAUAUACUUCUCCUCGUGCUGGUGCUGGGGAGGUAUGCUGCAGCUGAGCAUUUAGAAGAGCGAGGCCGUUGAGAUUAGAUGCGGAAAGAGAACAUGAGACGUGCAGGCCCAAGAUCCGUUUCCCUCCGUUCCCACCCCAUGUAUAUUAAACAGCCGGCGAGCGGCGGUCGCGCGGCGCGGUGACCUAGCGAGCGCCCGGAGUCCCCGGCCUCCACGCGGGUCCGCGCACGGCCGCCGCCGCUGCCGCCGCCGGCGAUUGCAGAGGGGCGUCUCGCAGCCAGAUUGGUUUCUACAUCCAGGGAUAAUUAUCGCACUCUCACUUGCCUAGCGCCCUUAAUAUUUUCAAAAAGUGCAGGGGGAAGAGCGAGAGUGAGUGUGAGUGUGAGUGAGUGUGAGUGUGAGUGUGUGUGUGUGUGUGUGUGUGUGUGUGUGUUGUGACAGAGUCAUUCUUGAUAAAAUUUAUUAAAAGUUAAAAGUA